GAUGGACAACAGACUCAAGGAGGGAAAAUGCAUUCAGAGCUGUCCAUUGCACGCCAUCCCAAAGAGUAUGGAAAACCAGAAGAAAUCCGGAAGAAAAGGCUUCAGGAGCUCCAAGAAAGCAGAGGUUGUCAAGAGAACGGGAGCAGAUGAAGAGGAGAAGUCUGGAUGGUUUUCAGAGAGAUGUUCUAGAGCGACAAAGAGAGUUUGAGCAGAGGGAAACUGAGAUGCAGAGUUUAGAGAAGCAUGUCAAUUUUGAAAAUGAGAAUUCAAGAAAGGCGUACUACAGGGAAUUCAAAAAGGUGGUUGAGGCCUCUGAUGUGAUUCUGGAGGUUCUGGAUGCCCGUGACCCUCUUGGCUGCCGUUUCCUCAGGUGGAGCAGGCUGUAAUUCAGAGCGGCACUGACAAGAAAAUAGUCCUGGUGCUUAACAAGAUUGACUUGGUGUCCAAGGAGAUUGUGGAGAAAUGGAUCAAGUAUCUUCGCAAUGAAUUUCCCACUGUGGCUUUCAAAGCCUCAACGCAACAACAGAACAAGAAUUUGAAGCGAAGCAAUGUACCUGUUACACAGGCCACUGCUGAGCUCCUAGUAGCAGU